rnacentral:lncRNA from 1 species
AGGCAGAGCAGAGGAUUGGGUUAUAGGAUGAGAGAACACCUGUUCCUGCCUCUUGCUUUCUCCCUAAAACCUAUAAAGUAGGAAAGGGGGAGGCAGCUGCCUGGGCUCCCUGCUCCAGGGGGUGUUUGUGGAUAGAUGGAUGGAGCUUUUGCAGGCUGAAGAGCUUCAAGUGCUGGGGGUGGAGAGGGGAGCUCCUGGCCUCGUCUCGGCUGCGUUGGGCUGCGCGAUGGAUGAUGUGUUCGAGGCUUCCUGUGUCUGGGGGCAAAUCGGGGCGAGAUGGCUCCGGGGAACCUGCGUGGUGGAGCUUGGUGCUGGGACAGCGAGCGAGGAGAGGGCAUAUUGA